rnacentral:rRNA from 1 species
AUUGAACGCUGGCGGCAUGCCUUACACAUGCAAGUCGAACGGCAGCACGGGUGCUUGCACCUGGUGGCGAGUGGCGAACGGGUGAGUAAUACAUCGGAACAUGUCCUGUAGUGGGGGAUAGCCCGGCGAAAGCCGGAUUAAUACCGCAUACGAUCUACGGAUGAAAGCGGGGGACCUUCGGGCCUCGCGCUAUAGGGUUGGCCGAUGGCUGAUUAGCUAGUUGGGGGGGUAAAGGCCUACCAAGGCGACGAUCAGUAGCUGGUCUGAGAGGACGACCAGCAACAUGGGGAGAGAGACAGGGCCCAGACUCCUGCGGGGGGAAGCGGUGGGGAAUUUUGGACGAGGGGGGAGUGCCGGAUCCAGCAAUGCGGGGGGUGGGAAGAAGGCCUUAGGGUGGGAAAGUACUUUUGUCCGGAAGGAAAUCCUUGGCCCUAAUACGGGCGGGGGAUGACGGUACCGGAAGAAUAAGCACCGGCUAACUACGUG